rnacentral:rRNA from 1 species
GAUGAACGCUGGCGGCGUGCCUAAUACAUGCAAGUCGAGCGAACGGACGAGAAGCUUGCUUCUCUGAUGUUAGCGGCGGACGGGUGAGUAACACGUGGAUAACCUACCUAUAAGACUGGGAUAACUUCGGGAAACCGGAGCUAAUACCGGAUAAUAUUUUGAACCGCAUGGUUCAAAAGUGAAAGACGGUCUUGCUGUCACUUAUAGAUGGAUCCGCGCUGCAUUAGCUAGUUGGUAAGGUAACGGCUUACCAAGGCAACGAUGCAUAGCCGACCUGAGAGGGUGAUCGGCCACACUGGAACUGAGACACGGUCCAGACUCCUACGGGAGGCAGCAGUAGGGAAUCUUCCGCAAUGGGCGAAAGCCUGACGGAGCAACGCCGCGUGAGUGAUGAAGGUCUUCGGAUCGUAAAACUCUGUUAUUAGGGAAGAACAUAUCUGUAAGUAACUGUGCACAUCUUGACGGUACCUAAUCAGAAAGCCACGGCUAACUACGUG